AGAGUUUGAUCCUGGCUCAGGAUAAACGCUGGCGGCGUGCCUUAAACAUGCAAGUCGAACGGUCUCCGCAAGGGGACAGUGGCGGACGGCUGAGUAAUACGUGAGUAACCUACCCUUAAGUGGGGAAUAACUCCGGGAAACCGGAGCUAAUUCCGCAUAAGGUCGGGCUCUGGAAUGGGUCCGAAGAAAGCCUUAGGGCGCUUGAGGAUGGGCUCGCGGCCGAUUAGCUAGUUGGUGGGGUAAGGGCCUACCAAGGCGAUGAUCGGUAGCUGGUCUGAGAGGAUGAUCAGCCAGACUGGGACUGCGACACGGCCCAGACUCCUACGGGAGGCAGCAGUUAGGAAUUUUGGGCAAUGGGCGAAAGCCUGACCCAGCAACGCCGCGUGGAGGACGAAGCCCUUCGGGGUGUAAACUCCUUUUCUGUGGGAAGAGAGAGGACGGUACCACAGGAAUAAGCCUCGGCUAACUACGUGCCAGCAGCCGCGGUAAGACGUAGGAGGCGAGCGUUGUCCGGAUUUACUGGGCGUAAAGGGCGUGUAGGUGGCAUAGCAAGUUGGCUGUGAAAGCCCCCGGCUUAACUGGGGAGGGUCAGUCAAUACUGCUAAGCUUGAGGCCGGUAGGGGGAGACGGAAUUCCCGGUGUAGUGGUGAAAUGCGUAGAUAUCGGGAGGAACACCGAUGGCGAAAGCGGUCUCCUGGGCCGGUCCUGACACUGAGACGCGAAAGCGCGGGGAGCGAACCGGAUUAGAUACCCGGGUAGUCCGCGCCCUAAACGAUGGAUACUUGGUCUGGGGGGUAUCGACCCCUCCCGGGCCGAAGCUAACGCAUUAAGUAUCCCGCCUGGGGAGUACGGCCGCAAGGUUGAAACUCAAAGGAAUUGACGUGGGCCCGCACAAGCAGCGGAGCGUGUGGUUUAAUUCGACGCAACGCGAAGAACCUUACCAGGGCUUGACAUGGCCGAAGUAGGAACCUGAAAGGGCGACGACCCGUAAAGUCGGGAGCGGUCACAGAUGCUGCACGGCUGUCGUCAGCUCGUGCCGUGAGGUGUUGGGUUAAGUCCCGCAACGAGCGCAACCCCCACCGCUAGUUGAAACACUCUAGCGGAACUGCCCGGCAAAACCGGGAGGAAGGCGGGGAUGACGUCAAGUCAUCGUGGCUCUUACGCCCUGGGCUACACACACGCUACAAUGGGCGGCACAAAGGGCAGCCAAACCGCGAGGUGGAGCGAAUCCCAAAAAGCCGUCCCCAGUUCAGAUUGCAGGCUGCAACUCGCCUGCAUGAAGUCGGAGUUGCUAGUAACCGCCGGUCAGCUACACGGCGGUGAAUGCGUUCCCGGGCCUUGUACACACCGCCCGUCACGUCAUGAAAGCUGGCAAUGCCUGAAGCCGGUGGGCUAACCCUUCACGGGGAGGCAGCCGUCGAAGGCAGGGCUGGUGAUUGGGACGAAGUCGUAACAAGAUA
rnacentral:rRNA from 1 species